rnacentral:rRNA from 1 species
AGCCAGACUCCUACGGGAGGCAGCAGUGGGGAAUAUUGCACAAUGGGGGAAACCCUGAUGCAGCGACGCCGCGUGAGCGAUGAAGUAUUUCGGUAUGUAAAGCUCUAUCAGCAGGGAAGAAGAUGACGGUACCUGACUAAGAAGCCCCGGCUAACUACGUGCCAGCAGCCGCGGUAAUACGUAGGGGGCAAGCGUUAUCCGGAUUUACUGGGUGUAAAGGGAGCGUAGACGGCGAUGCAAGCCAGAUGUGAAAGCCCGGGGCUCAACCCCGGGACUGCAUUUGGAACUGUGUGGCUGGAGUGUCGGAGAGGCAGGCGGAAUUCCUAGUGUAGCGGUGAAAUGCGUAGAUAUUAGGAGGAACACCAGUGGCGAAGGCGGCCUGCUGGACGAUGACUGACGUUGAGGCUCGAAAGCGUGGGGAGCAAACAGGAUUAGAUACCCCCGUAC